UGCAUAUAUAAUGUACAAGUAUGACCAAGGUGAUUUGAGGUUGCGGUAUUUUCUAAGACUAUUACACGUUUUGUGUGACGAGUGGUACCGUUGAGUUGCUAGGUGGAGAAAGACUAGUUAGAUGGUAUAUGGUGUUCUAAAUAGCCAAGUUAAGGAGUUUUGAUUGAUAGUGUUGAGCCUUUUUAUAUGAUCUUGAUUCUCAUAGUAGAGAGAUGUAAGUUUGGAGUCGCGAUAUUGGUAGGCUAUGUCGGAAGUAGUAUGAUUCAUUGAAGGCUUGGUGAUAUCCAUGUUGAGUGCUAGAUUCUAAGUUUGAGUUUUUGAAGGUUGAACUAAUAGAAAUAAGAGUUAAA
rnacentral:lncRNA from 1 species